UACAGAGGUGGCAAGCGUUGUUCGGAAUUACUGGGCGUAAAGGGCGCGUAGGCGGCCCGUCAAGUCCCGUGUGAAAGCCCCCGGCUCAACCGGGGAACGGCGCGGGAAACUAGCAGGCUUGAGUUCGGGAGAGGGAAGCGGAAUUCCGGGUGUAGCGGUGGAAAUGCGCAGAUAUCCGGAGGAACACCAGUGGCGAAGGCGGCGAUCUGGACAGAUAUUGACGCUGAGGUGCGAAAGCGUGGGGAGCAAACAGG
rnacentral:rRNA from 1 species